AUACGUAGGGAGCGAGCGUUGUCCGGAAUUACUGGGUGUAAAGGGAGCGUAGGCGGGACUGCAAGUCAGAUGUGAAAUACCGGGGCUUAACCCCGGAGCUGCAUUUGAAACUGUGGUUCUUGAGUGAAGUAGAGGCAAGCGGAAUUCCUGGUGUAGCGGUGAAAUGCGUAGAUAUCAGGAGGAACACCGGUGGCGAAGGCGGCUUGCUGGGCUUUUACUGACGCUGAGGCUCGAAAGCGUGGGUAGCAAACAGGAUUAGAUACCCUGGUAGUCCACGCUGUAAACGAUGAUUACUAGGUGUGGGGGGACUGACCCCUUCCGUGCCGCAGUUAACACAAUAAGUAUUCCGCCUGGGGAGUACGGCCGCAAGGUUGAAACUUAAAGGAAUUGACGGGG
rnacentral:rRNA from 1 species